CCGAUGAGGUGGAAACGGACAGAGCCGGCGUAUCUGGCCCGCAUUCAGCUGUUGGCUGUUGGGCACUCGCGCGACGCUCCCCAGACUGGGAAGCGGUGCGUGUGCUGCUCGGUGGCAAGCGGUGCAUUUGCGGGUGGAGUGCGUCGAGGCGGUCGGUGCAGCUGCACGAGCUCAGCCUUGAGGCCAGCCUUGCAAGAGGUNUGGUACCCGGACUGGGGGAGUGCUGUUUGUGCUGGCCGGCGCAAAAAGGGCAUGGCAUCGGGCACGGGUAGGUGCCGAGCCGGCAGUCGGUGGCGGUCGCGUGCGACACGUGCCAGCGGUCGGUUCGGUCCUGCUCGCGCUCACAACAGCGCCCGCACCUCGGCGUAAAAGCUGGUCAUCUGUCCGACCCGUCUUGAAACACGGACCAAGGAGUUUAGCGUGUGCGCAUGUCAUUGGGCGUUGAAAACCCAAAGGCGCAAUGAAAGUGAAGGCCUCCCUUGCGGAGCUGACGUGUGAUCCUGCAGGCUGCGGCCCACAGGCGCAACAUAGUCCCGUCCUGACCGCUUGCGAUAGGGCGGAGACAGAGCGUACGCGCUGAG
rnacentral:rRNA from 1 species